rnacentral:rRNA from 1 species
UCCGUAGGGUGCAAGCGUUGUCCGGAAUUAUUGGGCGUAAAGAGCUCGUAGGCGGUUUAUCAAGUUGGGAGUGAAAUCCCGGGGCUUAACCUCGGAACUGCUUCCAAAACUGGUAAACUAGAGAGUGAUAGAGGAUGGUGGAAUUCCUAGUGUAGAGGUGAAAUUCUUAGAUAUUAGGAGGAACACCGGUGGCGAAGGCGGCCAUCUGGGUCACAUCUGACGCUGAGGCGCGAAAGCGUGGGGAGCAAACAGG